rnacentral:misc_RNA from 1 species
AAGUCGUAACAAGGUUUCCGUAGGUGAACCUGCGGAAGGAUCAUUACAGAGUUCUUGCCCUUACGGGUAGAUCUCCCACCCUUGAAUACAUACCUUUGUUGCUUUGGCGGGCCGCGCUUGCGCUACUGGCUUCGGUUAGUACGUGCCCGCCAGAGGACCACAACUCUUGUUUUUAGUGAUGUCUGAGUACUAUAUAAUAGUUAAAACUUUCAACAACGGAUCUCUUGGUUCUG